AAUUGCGCAUAAUUUCGAUAGAUUUUCUAAUCUUCGAUAACGUCAUCAGUUUAGAGAAGGAUAGCAUUGUUGAAUAAAAAUUAAAUUGGAAUUGUGUAUGUGAUGCAUCUGUUGGUGCACUAGCCGGAAAUAUGAUCCCGUACACUUGGAUUUUGCUCUAGCCGCUAAAGUCAACUGUCACCGCAGACACCGCGUGCGCAUGAAGCAGUGAAGCCAGCCGACUCCCGACUCGACAGAAAACGCAGCUAGAGGUUGCAGCAAAGAGGCCUCAACAAUCGUUCCAGAUUCUUCAUCGGGAUAAAUCCAGAGCACAGCAAGUGCAAUUACAAAUUCCAGGUUAGCCGAGGAACUGGGAAGGUGGUCCAAAGAAAAAACGAGUCCCUCAAUCCACACAUGGCAUUGUUCAUCAGGGACUUCAUUGAUUAUGACUGGAAGAACAACUAAUACCAGGGUAGAAGACUCCAGGCCAGGAAAUUGACUAGUCCAGGCCCGUUUUUGAAGAAAAAUACAGUUCUGGGAGAAAAACAACGUUCAGGGACCAAAUUCUACUGUUUGAAAUCCUGCUGUUUUUAAAUCAUUUAAUUUGUCUUUUAUACUUUCUAAUUUUAACCGAACAUUUUAAUACAUUUGAACAGGAUUGAUUUGUAUGUUCAGAAAAGUGUUGUUGUAUACAAAACGAAAUGAAAUUUUAACAGAAAAAUGUUAACCUAUUGAAAAUUGUUUUUGCUAUGCUAUUUUUAUUUUAUGAAUUUAGAAAUUUAAAGUGUGAAAAGUUGUCAAUAAAGGGCAUUUUUGUGACAAAAACAGUGUCUUCAUUUUACAGUACACAAAAUUAAUGCAGUAGUCCCUAUUACAGUAGUAAAAUAUGUGAGGUGAUGAAACACAGUACUGUGAUUAUUACUGUAAAAAAGUUUACAGUAUUUUUAAAGUUACUGCAAUUAAGUUUACAGUAAGUA